rnacentral:rRNA from 1 species
GAUGAACGCUAGCGGGAGGCUUAACACAUGCAAGUCGAGGGGCAGCACGUCUUCGGAUGGUGGCGACCGGCGAACGGGUGCGUAACGCGUAUGCAACCUACCCUUAACAGGAGAAUAGCCCAGAGAAAUUUGGAUUAAUACUCCAUAGUAUUACAGAUUCGCAUGUUUCUGUAAUUAAAGUUCCAACGGUUAAGGAUGGGCAUGCGUGACAUUAGCUUGUUGGUGAGGUAACGGCUCACCAAGGCAACGAUGUCUAGGGGUUCUGAGAGGAUGAUCCCCCACACUGGUACUGAGACACGGACCAGACUCCUACGGGAGGCAGCAGUGAGGAAUAUUGGACAAUGGAGGCAACUCUGAUCCAGCCAUCCCGCGUGCAGGAAGACGGCCCUAUGGGUUGUAAACUGCUUUUANACAGGAAUAAACCCCUNUACGUGUAGAGGGCUGAAGGUACUGUAAGAUAAGCACCGGCUAACUCCGU